UGGGGAAUUUUGGACAAUGGGGGCAACCCUGAUCCAGCCAUUCCGCGUGAGUGAAGAAGGCCUUCGGGUUGUAAAGCUCUUUCAGCUGGAACGAAACGGUACGCUCUAACAUAGCGUGCUAAUGACGGUACCAGCGGAAGAAGCACCGGCUAACUACGUGCCAGCAGCCGCGGUAAUACGUAGGGUGCGAGCGUUAAUCGGAAUUACUGGGCGUAAAGCGUGCGCAGGCGGAUUGUUAAGCAAGACGUGAAAUCCCCGGGCUUAACCUGGGAAUGGCGUUUUGAACUGGCAGUCUAGAGUGUGUCAGAGGGGGGUAGAAUUCCACGUGUAGCAGUGAAAUGCGUAGAGAUGUGGAGGAAUACCAAUGGCGAAGGCAGCCCCCUGGGAUAACACUGACGCUCAUGUACGAAAGCGUGGGUAGCAAACUAGGAUUAGAUACCCUGGUAGUCCUCGCCCUAAACGAUGUC
rnacentral:rRNA from 1 species